UACGAAGGGGGCUAGCGUUGCUCGGAAUCACUGGGCGUAAAGGGUGCGUAGGCGGGUCUUUUAAGUCAGGGGUGAAAUCCUGGAGCUCAACUCCAGAACUGCCUUUGAUACUGAAGAUCUUGAGUUCGGGAGAGGUGAGUGGAACUGCGAGUGUAGAGGUGAAAUCGUAGAUAUUCGCAAGAACACCAGUGGCGAAGGCGGUUCUCUGGGACGGUACUGACGCUGAGACG
rnacentral:rRNA from 1 species